GCCAGCAACCAUAUCACCCUGCAAUUCACAACUGGCAGCCCACUGAAGCUAAACUGGUGUGGACCUGGUCAGUACCUGGAUGGGAGACCUCCUGGGAAAAACUAAGGAUGCUGCUU
rnacentral:rRNA from 1 species